rnacentral:RNase_P_RNA from 1 species
AGUGAGCCGGGCAACCGCGCCGUAUACGGUGAGGAAAGUCCGGGCUUCGAAGGGCAAGAUGCCAGUUAACGGCUGGGCGGGGCGACCCGACGGAUAGUGCCACAGAAAAGAAGACUCUUCCUUUGGAAGAAAAGCUGAAACGGUGCGGUAAGAGCGCACCAGCAUGCUGGUAACAGCAUGGCUUGGUAAACCCCAUCUGAAGCAAGCGCAAAUAGGAAUGCAAUACGGCCGCCUUUCCGUGCAUUCGGGUUGCGUGCUAGAGUUUCGCGGUGACGCGAAAUCGAGAUAAAUGGUUGCCGACCACAGAACCCGGCUUACAGGCUCACUCU